rnacentral:rRNA from 1 species
UACGUAGGGUGCAAGCGUUAAUCGGAAUUACUGGGCGUAAAGCGUGCGCAGGCGGUUGUGCAAGACAGAUGUGAAAUCCCCGGGCUCAACCUGGGAACUGCAUUUGUGACUGCACGGCUGGAGUGCGGCAGAGGGGGAUGGAAUUCCGCGUGUAGCAGUGAAAUGCGUAGAUAUGCGGAGGAACACCGAUGGCGAAGGCAAUCCCCGUGGGCCUGCACUGACGCUCAUGCACGAAAGCGUGGGGAGCAAACAGG